rnacentral:rRNA from 1 species
UACGUAGGGUGCAAGCGUUGUCCGGAAUUAUUGGGCGUAAAGAGCUCGUAGGCGGCUAGUCGCGUCGGCUGUGAAAACCUGGGGCUCAACCCCGGGCCUGCAGACGAUACGGGCUAGCUAGAAUUCGGUAGGGGAGACUGGAAUUCCUGGUGUAGCGGUGAAAUGCGCAGAUAUCAGGAGGAACACCGGUGGCGAAGGCGGGUCUCUGGGCCGAUAUUGACGCUCAUGCACGAAAGCGUGGGGAGCAAACAGG